GAUGAACGCUAGCGACAGGCCUAACACAUGCAAGUCGAGGGGCAGCAUGGUUGUAGCAAUACAACUGAUGGCGACCGGCAAACGGGUGAGUAACAAGUGAGCAACCUGCCUAUAACUGGAGGAUAACCCGUCGAAAGACGGACUAAUACUGCAUAAUAUUGAGAUAUCGCAUGAUAUUUCAAUUAAACUUUUUGGGUUAUAGAUGGGCUCGCCUUCCAUUAGCUAGUUGGUAAGGUAACGGCUUACCAAGGCGACGAUGGAUAGGGGUUCUGAGAGGAAGGUCCCCCACACUGGAACCGAGACACGGUCCAGACUCCUACGGGAGCAGCAGUGAGGAAUAUUGGUCAAUGGGCGCAAGCCUGAACCAGCCAAGUAGCGUGAAGGAUGACUGCCCUAUGGGCUGUAAACUUCUUUUAUACGGGAACAAUCGCAGGUACGUGUACCUGUCUGCGUGUACCGUAUGAAUAAGCAUCGGCUAACUCCGUGCCAG
rnacentral:rRNA from 1 species